rnacentral:tRNA from 1 species
GCUUGCGUGGCCAAGUGGUAAGGCGUCGCACUUGUAAUGCGAAGAUCGCUAGUUCGAAUCUGGUCGUGAGCAA